rnacentral:rRNA from 1 species
GAUGAACGCUGGCGGCGUGCCUAAUACAUGCAGGUCGAGCGAACAGACGAGGAGCUUGCUCCUCUGACGUUAGCGGCGGACGGGUGAGUAACACGUGGAUAACCUACCUAUAAGACUGGGAUAACUUCGGGAAACCGGAGCUAAUACCGGAUAAUAUAUUGAACCGCAUGGUUCAAUAGUGAAAGACGGUUUUGCUGUCACUUAUAGAUGGAUCCGCGCCGCAUUAGCUAGUUGGUAAGGUAACGGCUUACCAAGGCAACGAUGCGUAGCCGACCUGAGAGGGUGAUCGGCCACACUGGAACUGAGACACGGUCCAGACUCCUACGGGAGGCAGCAGUAGGGAAUCUUCCGCAAUGGGCGAAAUCCUGACGGAGCAACGCCGCGUGGGUGAUGAAGGUCUUCGGAUCGUAAAACUCUGUUAUUAGGGAAGAACAAAUGUGUAAGUAACUAUGCACGUCUUGACGGUACCUAAUCAGAAAGCCACGGCUAACUACGUG